UUUUUAAAUUCCCGCAUUAUUUUUCAUUUCUUUCUCAAUACAAUUUAGAGAAAAGGAACCCUAUUUUCUCAAACCCCUUUCAUCUUUCUCUCACCCUUUCUGAUCACCUUCUUCUCCCAAAAGUAAUCUUCAACCGCAACCUCUCACACUCUUACAUUCAGUGUCUCUCACCCUUUGCUGCUCUUAUGCCUCUCUAACGUUUCCGUCAUCUGAGUAUUUCCCGAAUAAGGAUUUCAAGGGUGAAUCUUUUUUUUUCCAUGUUGUAAAGGGUAUGGCUUAAUGUCAAAGCGGUAGAAUAAUUGUUGAAAGGUUGAGGUCGACAAGCCUUUAGGCCUCACUUUGGGUCAAAAGCAAGGUGGUCUCACUCAGGCAAGCAAAUCAUUAUUUCUCUCUGCUUUCUAUUUGCAUAUGUUUACCGGUAAAACUUUGGAAAAAAAAGAAGUAGAAAGAAAAUCUAGGAAGCUUUGUUCCCAUUUUUUGGUCAAUUUCCUUCUGCAAGCAAGUCUUAUAGUUGGUGUUGUGCAUUGAAUUAGGUCUUAAUAUGUUUGAGUGAUUCAUAUAAUACCAACUAGUUUCAAUGGUAUUUUUUGACAAACUGUGGCUGCAUUCAAGGCUGGCAAUUUUCUUUGAAAGUUUCAAGUUUGUAUCAAACACGAUAUUAGUUUUUCUUUUUGGGCCUCGUUUUUUUAGUAUAAAUAAUUAUUAAAAGUUAAAAACUUAAGCAAUGCUAGAUAAUAUAACAGAACAAGCAUAAUGGAUAUUCUUUGGCUGCCUUCAAUGAUCACAUGCUUUCCAUGGAACAAAUCCUAUAUAUUAUAUGAUUAUCCAAUUAACUUUAUGGUUUUUGUACGUGAUAUGCGGCAUAGUGAGGACACAGAUGAAAGAGUUCCAUGUUACAUUAUGACCAUGGUACUACCAAAAGUAGGUAACUUUUUAUUUAUUAGCUAGAAUGGUAAAGAAAAAAACAGAGAAAAGUGCUCAAGUAGGAACUCCUACAUAUUACAGUACCACUAAUUUUAAGUUUGAUCACAUAUCCUAUAAAUAUAUAUUGAUAUGCUCAUAUAGUGCUAUUUGUAUAUUUAUAAGCUCAUAUAAUGCUAUUUAUUUUCUAUAUCUUUUUUCUAUAAUAAUGCUUUGAUUUGUUAGAAUAUAUUAUAAAAAAUAUAAUAUAUAUAUGUAUAAGUAAUAUAUGCCAAGAUACAAAUGUCAAUUAUUUUAAUCCUCUUAUUUUACAUUUAUCUUAUUUCUCAAACUUCUUGUGUUAUUUCAAGGCAUAGAUUGUUAAUAUAAACAUUGUGUGAUUGUUAGGCUUAACUUAUGAAUAUAGACACCAAAGGGAUUUGAAGGAUCUUUUUGCAGAAGUUGCAUCCUCGGCCAAGAUUGGUACAACAAAGAAUGAUGUUGGCACCUAUCGGAGUGCCUGUGGUGGUCAUGAAGUUCGUUGCUCUGCUUCUUAUGGAUAGAGUUGGGUAUUUGUACUUUGAGUUAUACAUGUAAAUUUGCAUAGAUCAGAGGGUCUAUAUUUGUGUUAUAUAUAUAUAUAUAUAUUGAAUAUUGUAAAAUUGUAUAGAUUUAAGUUUGAUUUUUCACAGAUCUAAAUAUUGUAAAUUUAUUGAUAUAUAUUGGUGAUGUUAAGUGUAUUUUAUUUAUUUGUGACUUUAGUAAUUUUGAUAUUGGUUCUAUUUUA